rnacentral:misc_RNA from 1 species
AAAGAAAAAAGAUAACCUGUGGAGGCUAUGUUGGUAAACAAAAAUAAAACAUGGGCUACAAAUGAUAUCUUGGCAUAAGAUCCUAUUACCUUAAAGCAAAAACUUCCUAAGUUGAACAAUAAAUCAAUGGUACUUUACCUUACCUAGAAGUAGCCAUUAAUAAUCUUGCAAAAAGAAUGAUAGGGAAUUAUUUAUUCAUUUUAAAAAAGCAAAAGGUCUAUAAGUCAUAUUAUUAAAAUUAGAACAUCAACAAGAAACAAUUGGUGCAUCCAUUUGUGAUAUACUCCUUACAUUAUUUAUGCAUGCGAAAUCAACACAUCAUAAAAUACUUUUUGCUGCUUCAAAAAUAUGGUUGAAUUGGAUUCCAAAGCACA